rnacentral:rRNA from 1 species
GACGAACGCUGGCGGCGUGCUUAACACAUGCAAGUCGAACGGAAAGGCCUCUUUCGGGGGGUACUCGAGUGGCGAACGGGUGAGUAACACGUGAGUAACCUGCCCUUGACUUUGGGAUAACUUCAGGAAACUGGGGCUAAUACCGGAUAGGAGCUCCUGCUGCAUGGUGGGGGUUGGAAAGUUUCGGCGGUUGGGGAUGGACUCGCGGCUUAUCAGCUUGUUGGUGGGGUAGUGGCUUACCAAGGCUUUGACGGGUAGCCGGCCUGAGAGGGUGACCGGCCACAUUGGGACUGAGAUACGGCCCAGACUCCUACGGGAGGCAGCAGUGGGGAAUAUUGCACAAGGGGUGGAAGCCUGAUGCAGCAACGCCGUGUGCGGGAGGACGGCCUUCGGGUUGUAAACCGCUUUCGCCCAUGACGAAGCUUUGUGUGACGGUAGUGGGUAAAGAAGCACCGGCUAACUACGUG